UACGAAGGGGGCUAGCGUUGCUCGGAAUCACUGGGCUUAAAGGGUGCGUAGGCGGGUCUUUAAGUCAGGGGUGAAAUCCUGGAGCUCAACUCCAGAACUGCCUUUGAUACUGAGGAUCUUGAGUUCGGGAGAGGUGAGUGGAACUGCGAGUGUAGAGGUGAAAUUCGUAGAUAUUCGCAAGAACACCAGUGGCGAAGGCGGCUCACUGGCCCGAUACUGACGCUGAGGCACGAAAGCGUGGGGAGCAAACAGG
rnacentral:rRNA from 1 species